ensembl:lncRNA
CUCCACUAUGGUGACAGUGCAAAUCUGCCCAUGGGAGCUUGCACUCAGCAGAGUCCUGACACUUCCUUCUCACCCCUCUUACCCACAGCCUGCAGCACCAGCGAUAACCAGGGCAGUUUUCCAUGAUGAACACAUAACACGCAAUUUAAAUAGAGAACAAGAAAAAAUCUGAAAAGAAAAAAAAAACCCAAAACCCAACAAACCCACUCUACUCUUUUACUCUCUCUCCUCCCCUAAACAUUCCCCACCCUAAACAUUCCAGCCUUCCAUGCCACUAGAGAGGGGAGUUGUUUAUUGAUAUUAUGCAAGUACUGAAAUAUUUUUCUAUUUCUUCUCUGCUAUCCUUUUUUUUCCCCCUCUCUCUCCCUCUCUUCUCCGGGGGUUGCAAAGGUAGUUCAAACCCCUCCAGUCAUCUCGGCUUAUCAGCCACAGGAGAUACAUUCCUCUGGGCUGCUCCCUUUAUAAGUCACUGCUGGCCGGGCGCCCGCCCGUCGCCCCGCAGCCUCCGCGCCGGCCGCGCUGCCCGCUCCGCGCUGCCCCGCCAUGCCCUAGCCCGGGCCCGCUCAGCCACUCGGGCAGGGUCGGCAGCGAUGGCACCCCCGCCCCCGUGCCCCGCCCGCCGCUGAGGGCGGCUGCUGCCGCCGGGAUGUUCAGCUGGCAUCGGAGCUUCACCCUGGGAGCGCCCUGGAGGAGAGGUGAGUCGGCCGCCCCCCCGGUCAGCCGGCGGCUGCCAACACCUCCCCAAACCCGCACCCCGCCACCCCUUCCUUCCCCUCAGCGCCGCGCGGACGAUACUUAGGACAGGCUCAUCCCGGCCCGCCCUGCUCCCGGGCCCCGCCGGACGGGCCCCGCGCCGCUGCCGGCCCCCCCAUGCUGCGCUCGCUGCUCUCCGGCUGCCUCUGUCCCCUCGCAGCAGGUAAGAGGAGCCCACCUGCUGAGGACAAAGUCGUGUUAACACACAUGAAGAUACUGAGCAAUGAAGGAAUUCAAAACCCAGGGUUAAUCCCAGAGGCUCCAGCUGACACAGCCUGCACAGAGGAGUCCCAUCUCCCCGGUGCCAGUGUCCCAGCAGCCUGCUUGGGAAGCCCAGAUGCCGCAGCCAGGGCAGCAGCUGCAGACGGCGCGGAUGGCCCGGCAAGCAGUGACUGCGUAGCCACCCUGCCUGACCUCAGCGCCUUCGAGUCCAAGUGCCGGCUCCACAGAUUCUCCAAAUUCGAAUCUGAGGACUCGGGGGUUGAGCUGCCAAGCGGUGCUAAUUCUCCAUCAACGCCCACGGGCUCAGAAAAGAGCUUUGUGCUUCACAACAGAGACUCAUUUUGUGACUCGGGUGUGCUUAGCACCUCUUCUUCCCCAGAAAUUGACCAUCAGUUAACGAGAACAUGUAAAGAACAUGCCAGAAAAGUUAGCCUACAAGAUCCAGAGAGCAAAAAGCAAGAUGAUUACUAUAGUCAGGAGGCAGUUGCUGUGCAGGAUCCUACAGCUUCCCUUGAAGAUUUCAAUGACCCUCAGGAAGAAAGUCCUGAUGAACAUUUUCACCAGGAUGACAAGCAGUCUCCAGAAAAGGAACCUACUGCAGAGAUGGACCUUUCCAGGGAAAGCACUGUUUCCACCCCAGGUCCCACAGAAGAGCCAAAGACAAUUGCUGACAAUUUUCCAGAGAAUUUUGGCAGCAUGCAAGACCUUCAGAUCCGUGAACAUCAGCUGAAGAAGUGCCCCACAAGUGACAGCCUGGAUGAAUACAUGGAUGAAUGCUGUAGACUGAGUGAGGUGAACCAAAGUAACAGCAAAGCCCUGGGAUCUGGUCUGGGAUACCUAGAACACAUCUGCCAACUGAUUGAGAAGAUUGGGCAGCUUCAGGAGCACAACUUGCGUCUCCAAAAACAAGUGUGCAGGUUGCAGAAAGAGCAGAAGAUGAGUCAGAUAAAAGAGGAAUACAUUCUGCAGCACUGCUCCUGUGGAGCUGCCAGUAUCUUCCUUAAGUCAUAUCAAGACAUGAAAACAAAUUUUGCUGGGAGGAGCAGACCUCAAAGCCUCUUGGUUCAGACUGGAAACCCUUCUGAUCUUUCCAUCAUCCCAGAAAUAGGAGUGAACACCGAGAAGCUGAGCAGCUGCAAUGGAAGUGAGAGAUAUCUGGAAUCAGGAAAGAGCCAGCCGAUGAUGGGGCUCAGAAAGUCAGCAAACAAUAAGAACAACAAGGAGAAUGAGUUCAGAGAAGUUGGGAGUAUGGCAGAGGGACAGGCUUUUCUAUCAAAGGACCCUGCAGUAAGAAAGGCUCUGGACGUCAGCAAGAACAUCUCGGGUGAGAGCCAUGCUUGGAGGAGAAUGAGAGAUCUUAUGAGGAAGACAAGGUUGACAAACCAGAACAAGCUGGGGCUGUCUUCUGCUGCUCUGAAGAGAUCCUGCCCACAGUUGUAUAGGCCAGAUAUUAUGUCUUCAGACCUGAGGAAAACUGAGAGGAACUCCAUGAUUGUUCUGGGACAAAAUACAAAGAAUGAAAACUUAUGGCCUUUCUAAUGACCUGAGUCAAAUGGAGCAAGGAGAAAAAGUCAAGGCAAGAACACCAAAGGACAGGAAAUCAAGAAUCCCAGGGUUACUCUGUGCAAUCUACAUCCUACAAUUGUCAACAAAGCAACUCUGAAUUGAGUGUUGGAAGGGAAAGGGGGAAGGGGGAUGUUGAGAAGGGUCUGUGGGCAGAUACAUGCUCAACUACAUAUGGCUUCACUCCCAAAUCUGAAGUGUGCUUUAAAAAGUCAAGCCACAGAUGAAAAUUGCUGUUAGCAUCUUGGCAACACAAGCAACAGGGACUUUUAAGAUUUGGAAAGUCUUCUCUGGGUUGGGAACAAAAUUACCUGAAACACCAAAGCUUUAAAACUAUCAUUACUUUCUGGGGACUUCUCCAGCUGAAAUAAACAUUAGCUUUAUGGGACUCA